CCUACGGGAGGCAGCAGUGAGGAAUAUUGGUCAAUGGACGAGAGUCUGAACCAGCCAAGUAGCGUGAAGGAUGACUGCCCUAUGGGUUGUAAACUUCUUUUAUAAAGGAAUAAAACGAGGCACGUGUGCCUUUUUGCAUGUACUUUAUGAAUAAGGAUCGGCUAACUCCGUGCCAGCAGCCGCGUUAAUACGGAGGAUCCGAGCGUUAUCCGGAUUUUUUGGGUUUAAAGGGAGCGUAGAUGGGUUGUUAAGUCAGUUGUGAAAGUUUGCGGCUCAACCGUAAAAUUGCAAUUGAUACUGGCAGUCUUGAGUACAGUUGAGGUAGGCGGAAUUCGUGGUGUAGCGGUGAAAUGCUUAGAUAUCACGAAGAACCCCGAUUGUGAAGGCAGCUUACUAAACUGUGACUGACAUUGAUGCUCGAAAGUGUGGGUAUCAAACAGGAUUAGAUACCCUUGUAGUC
rnacentral:rRNA from 1 species